rnacentral:pre_miRNA from 1 species
AGCCUUCUGUAUUUGUGCUGAGAUUUCAUCACACACCAGACCACAAGAGCUAAUGAGACUUUUAAGAUAAGUGAAGCG